GGUUAUAGUGGAUACAGGUGGGGUUAUAGUGGAUACAGGUGAGGUUAUAGUGGAUACAGGUGAGGUUAUAGUGGAUACAGGUGAGGUUAUAGUGGAUACAGGUGGGGCUAUAGUGGAUACAGGUGAGGUUAUAGUGGAUACAGGUGAGGUUAUAGUGGAUACAGGUGAGAUUAUAGUGAUUACAGGUGAGGUUAUAGUGAUUACAGGUGGGUUAUAGUGAUUACAGGUGGGGUUAUAGUGAUUACAGGUGAGGUUAUAGUGAUUACAGGUGAGGUUAUAGUGAUUACAGGUGAGGUUAUAGUGAUU